rnacentral:lncRNA from 1 species
AGGGUUCAUUCAGGAACAAGAAAUUGGAUCACCCCCCCCCCCGGAGAUGAAGCCCUUCCUUCAACUGGCAUGAAGGGGUGCGGGUCAUGAGUGCAAUCUCAUCCCAAAUAGGGGACUAGAGAGACUAGAUAAGGAGAUCCCCUUUCCCCAUACCGAUUCAUCUGGAUGGCCAAAGUCUCUUCACCACUGCUCGAGAUGUGCAGGUCAGUCGUGGGCCUCAGGUUGAAGAUGUGCAGCUUGGUAGAGCAUUUACCAAAACAGGUUCUUUAUUCAAGCAAGAAUGUAUUCAACAAUCGUCUUAGGGAUACCCGAAGCAAGGAAGAAAGGAGACUGAAAGGCUAUUUGACCUGCCUUGUCGAAAGCGCAUCUCAGUAUAAGCAGCAUAAGCAGCAAAGAGAGAGUGAGCUGGCGCGAAAGCCUUUGCGGCUUUCUUGCUUGGAAGAGCGCGCGGCGCGCGAAAGCCAUUGCUGCUUUCUUGCUAGAAGAGGGCUAAAAGCCAAGAGCUGACCACUGCCUUACAGAUUAAAUUCUCGCUCAUGCUUUCACCCUUUAUAUUGACUCUAGACAAGCUGCCUUACUCAUUUCCCUUGCUCGUAUGGUCCUUCCUGCUAAUCGAGAACUCAGGAAGAGCCUUUUUCUUCUGUGGAAACUACUCUGCCCUAGUCCAUCUCCCCUGUAUCCAGGGAGUGAUGACUUCUGCUAGGAUUGGUUUCGAAUCAAGAGGAUUUGGGGCUCUCGAUCCCAAUACAUCCGCUAUUAUGCCCUCACCCCUACGAAAGGAAGGGGAUAGAAUGAAUUAAGAGGGAGAAGAAAAGAUUGCGACAGAAAAAAUCGGUGAUUGAUCAUCACAAACCAAAACGUCCCACUCACACGGGUCUGAAAGCUUUUCAGUGGACGGUCACGGUGGUUCAAACCCCGAUUUUAUCCCCCCACCCCGUUCAGAGAAGCAGAAUGAGCUACAUGCACACAAAUCCAGGAUUUCUGCUUUUCUGACUUGAGACAUUCAUAAUGAAUAUUUUGUUUGAAUGAGCCUUUUUUUCUUUUUAUAAAUGCAUUUAAUAAUAUAUAGAGGAGAAAGGUUCUAUUCCGGCAUCAAACAUCAUAGAACUUUUCCACAAUAUCAUCGUCCAGCCUAUGGACCCGAAAUCCUUUAGGCACUCCCCUUCAAUGCACCAGCAAGCGUACGGGCUAUUUUAGGGCUUCUUAUAUAUUAGGAAGUCGCUCAUUUUUCUUUUCAUUUCUUAUGAGAAGAAAGAGAGUCCGGACUUGAUUUCCAGGAAGUUGUUGAUUUGACUGGUAGUGCCCGGUGGACAAG